rnacentral:RNase_P_RNA from 1 species
GCGAGCCGGUGGACGGGCCACGGGGAUCUCCUGGGGAAGUUCCUCCCUCACUGCAGGACGCACGGCGCCAGGAGGCGCGACCGGAGACGGUCGGCUCCAGAACAGAAACGAGACCCGACCCACCACGAGCGGUGAUGGGGCGACCUUGAGGUCGGUGGGAUGCGGGAUGAAACGGCUGACCCGCGCGGAGCAAGGCCAAACGUGGCCGAUGAAGUGCCUGCGACAGGCCAAGGUAGGCCGCUGAGCGGAAUCCCGUCUAGAACAGAAGGAGGACUACGGCCGGGAACGC